UAAAAUAAUUAAGGGCACACAAAGGAUGCCUAGGUAGUAAGAGCCGAUGAAGGACGUGGUAAGCUGCGAUAAGCCUAGAUAAGUUGCAAUCGAACGUAAGAGUCUAGGAUUUCCGAAUGGAGCAAUCUAUUAAGAUGGAGUCUUAAUACGAAAGAGGGAACCGCGUGAACUGAAACAUCUAAGUAACGCGAGGAAAAGAAAGUAAAAACGAUACCCAAAGUAGCGGCGAGCGAAAUGGGUCAAGCCUAAACCUUAAAUAUGUCAAGGAUACAGCCGUUGUAUUUAGGGGGUUGAGGGACAGAGUAGUGAAGAACUGUAAGAUAUUCAAUAUAGUGUAUUGAUGAAUUGGAAUUGUCUGGAAAGGCGAACCGUAGAAGGUGAAAGUCCUGUACAAGUAAAUCCUUACACAUAUAACUCUGCUCCCAAGUAACAUGGAACACGAGGAAUUCUGUGUGAAUCAGUGAGGACCAUAUCUCAUAAGGCUAAAUACUCUUACUAACCGAUAGCGCAUAGUACCGUGAGGGAAAGGUGAAAAGAACCCCUGGAGGGGAGUGAAAUAGAACCUGAAAUUGUGUGCUUACAAGCGGUCAGAGCCAGUAAUGGUGAUGGCGUGCCUUUUGGAGAAUGAUCCUGCGAGUUACGUUAAACGGCGAGGUUAAGUAUAACGGAGCCGAAGGGAAACCAAGUCUUAAUAGGGCGAUUUAGUCGUUUGGCGUAGACGCGAAACCUGGUGAUCUAAACCUGUCCAGGAUGAAGCUGUGGUAAGACACAGUGGAGGUCCUAACCCACCGCCGUUGAAAAGUUGGGGGAUGAGGUAGGUUUAGGGGUGAAAAGCCAAUCGAACUAGGAGAUAGCUCGUUCUCUCCGAAAUGUAUCUAGGUACAGCCUUGAGUGUUCAAUUAUGGGGGUAGAGCACUGAAUGAUCUAGGGGGCGUAUUGCUUACUGAAAUCAAUCAAACUCCGAAUACCAUAAUUUAUAGCUCAGGAGUGAGACUAUGGGAGUUAACUUCCAUUGUCGAAAGGGAAACAACCCAGACCACCAGCUAAGGUCCCUAAUUAUAACUAAGUGGGAAAGGAGGUGGAGAUUCACAAACAACUAGGAGGUUGGCUUAGAAGCAGCCAUACCUUUAAAGAGUGCGUAAUAGCUCACUAGUCGAGAGUCUCUGCGCCGACAAUGUAACGGGGCUAAGUUAUAAACCGAAGCUGUGGAAUCCGUAAGGAUUGGUAGGAGAGCGUUCUGUAGGCCGUUGAAGGAGAAGGGUAACCGACUCUGGAGGUAUCAGAAGUGAGAAUGCAGGAAUAAGUAGCGAGAAAGGGGGCGAGAAUCCCCCUCGCCGGAAGACCAAGGUUUUCAGGGUAAAGCUUGUCUUCCCUGAGUAAGCCGGGACCUAAGCCCAGGCUAUAAUGCGUAGGCGAAUGGAAAACAGAUUAAUAUUUCUGUGCCAGUCAUAUAUUGUGAUGGAGGGACGCAGAAGGGUAUGCGCGCGGACGAACGGAAGUGUCCGUAGAAGUAUGUAGGAUGACUUGAUAGGAAAAUCCAUUGAGUUAUAUCUGAGGUAUGAUAUACAGUCGUAAGAUGAAUGCGCAAAUCCCACGCUGCCAAGAAAAGCUUCUAACGUUAAUAUUUGACUGCCCGUACUGUAAACCGACACAGGUGGUCAGGAUGAGAAAUCUAAGGCGGACAGGCUAACUCUCGUUAAGGAACUCUGCAAAAUAACCUCGUAACUUCGGGAGAAGAGGAGCCCUUGAGGGUCAGUAUCCACGCGAUACAAAGCGCUCGAGGGUCGCAGUGAAGAGGCUCAAGCAACUGUUUAACAAAAACACAGGUCUAUGCUAAGCUGGAAGGCGAUGUAUAUGGGCUGACACCUGCCCAGUGCUGGAAGGUUAAGAGGAGGAGUGAGAGCUCCGAAUUGAAGCCCCAGUGAACGGCGGCCGUAACUAUAACGGUCCUAAGGUAGCGAAAUUCCUUGUCGGGUAAG
rnacentral:rRNA from 1 species